AUUGAACGCUGGCGGCAGGCCUAACACAUGCGAGUCGAGCGGAUGAAGGGAGCUUGCUCCUGGAUUCAGCGGCGGACGGGUGAGUAAUGCCUAGGAAUCUGCCUGGUAGUGGGGGAUAACGUCCGGAAACGGGCGCUAAUACCGCAUACGUCCUGAGGGAGAAAGUGGGGGAUCUUCGGACCUCACGCUAUCAGAUGAGCCUAGGUCGGAUUAGCUAGUUGGUGGGGUAAAGGCCUACCAAGGCGACGAUCCGUAACUGGUCUGAGAGGAUGAUCAGUCACACUGGAACUGGAACACGGUCCAGACUCCUAAGGGAGGCAGCAGUGGGGAAUAUUGGACAAUGGGCGAAAGCCUGAUCCAGCCAUGCCGCGUGUGUGAAGAAGGUCUUCGGAUUGUAAAGCACUUUAAGUUGGGAGGAAGGGCAGUAAGUUAAUACCUUGCUGUUUUGACGUUACCAACAGAAUAAGCACCGGCUAACUUCGUG
rnacentral:rRNA from 1 species